CUUCUUCAUCGUCUUUUUUUCAUCAAAAAAAAAAUAACUAAAAGAUCUUCUUAUGCCCAUAAUAUUUCAAUUUCUCUAAUGUGUAAUAUAUUUCUACCAAAGAAGAUCUUUUUAUCAUCCACUGCAUAUUGAAAAGACGACCUCGAAUAUGGGCAAAUGGAAGUUGAUUCUACGAACCAAAUACCAAAAAAUAGACAUUUUUUGUAUUCAACUGCACAAAUUAUUUUAAGGUUCAUCGAAACUUUUUCGGAAAUGAAAUACCACUUAAAGCAAGGGAGAAGGGACACAGGUUGGUUUUCUAUGUCGAGGUAAAUACCAGUAUUUGAUUCGUACACUGAGGUUUGGUAAAAAUCUUUUCGUUACGUAUUCCGGGUGAAUUUAGCAUUGCUAGAGUCGGUUGUAGCAAUGCUCACGAAGUAUAAUAUAGGAUAUCGUUAUUAUUAACAUGUUAUUUAGGGGGU